UACGUAGGUGGCAAGCGUUGUCCGGAAUUAUUGGGCGUAAAGCGCGCGCAGGUGGUCCUUUAAGUCUGAUGUGAAAGCCCACGGCUCAACCGUGGAGGGUCAUUGGAAACUGGGGGACUUGAGUGCAGGAGAGAAGAGUGGAAUUCCACGUGUAGCGGUGAAAUGCGUAGAGAUGUGGAGGAACACCAGUGGCGAAGGCGACACUCUGGGCCGGUACUGACGCUGAGGAGCGAAAGCGUGGGGAGCGAACAGG
rnacentral:rRNA from 1 species